rnacentral:rRNA from 1 species
UACGUAGGGGGCAAGCGUUGUCCGGAAUUAUUGGGCGUAAAGAGCGUGUAGGCGGUCCGGUAAGUCGGCUGUGAAAGUCCAGGGCUCAACCCUGGGAUGCCGGUCGAUACUGCCGGACUAGAGUUCGGAAGAGGCGAGUGGAAUUCCCGGUGUAGCGGUGAAAUGCGCAGAUAUCGGGGAGGAACACCUAUGGCGAAGGCAGCUCGCUGGGACGUUACUGACGCUGAGACGCGAAAGCGUGGGGAGCGAACAGG